rnacentral:rRNA from 1 species
GACGAACGCUGGCGGCGUGCCUAACACAUGCAAGUCGAACGGACAGGCCCUGCUUUUGUGGGGUGCUCGAGUGGCGAACGGGUGAGUAACACGCGAGUAACCUGCCCCUGACUUUGGGAUAACUUCAGGAAACUGGGGCUAAUACCGGAUAGGAGCUCCUGCUGCAUGGUGGUCGUUGGAAAGUUUCGGCGGUUGGGGAUGGACUCGCAGCUUAUCAGCUUCUUGGUGGGGUAGUGGCUUACCAAGGCUUUCACGGGAGGCCGGCCUGAGAGGAUGACCGGGCACAUGAGGAGUGGGAUAGGAACCAGACUAAUAUGGGAAGCAACAGAAGGGAAAAUUGCAGAGUGGGCGGAAGCCGGAUGCAGCGGUACGGCGUGCGGAAUGACGGCAUUCGUGUUGUAAACCGCUUUAGCAUGAAACGAAACGUGAGUGACGGUAAUGGGUCAGGAAUCACCGGCUAACUACGUG